rnacentral:rRNA from 1 species
GAGUUUGAUCCUGGCUCAGGACGAACGCUGGCGGCGUGCCUAACACAUGCAAGUCGAGCGAGGAGAUUCCCUUCGGGGAUGAACCUAGCGGCGGACGGGUGAGUAACACGUGGGCAACCUGCCUUAUAGAGGGGAAUAGCCUUCCGAAAGGAAGAUUAAUACCGCAUAACAUUACAUUUUCGCAUGAAGAAGUAAUUAAAGGAGUAAUCCGCUAUAAGAUGGGCCCGCGGCGCAUUAGCUAGUUGGUGAGGUAACGGCUCACCAAGGCGACGAUGCGUAGCCGACCUGAGAGGGUGAUCGGCCACAUUGGGACUGAGACACGGCCCAGACUCCUACGGGAGGCAGCAGUGGGGAAUAUUGCACAAUGGGGGAAACCCUGAUGCAGCUACGCCGCGUGAGUGAUGAAGGUCUUCGGAUCGUAAAGCUCUGUCUUCAGGGACGAUAAUGACGGUACCUGAGGAGGAAGCCACGGCUAACUACGUGCCAGCAGCCGCGGUAAUAC